UACGUAGGGUGCGAGCGUUGUCCGGAAUUAUUGGGCGUAAAGGGUGCGUAGGCGGUUUGGUAAGUCUGAUGUGAAAUCUAUGGGCUCAACUCAUAGUCUGCAUCGGAAACUGCCGGGCUUGAGUGUGGGAGAGGUGAGUGGAAUUCCUGGUGUAGCGGUGAAAUGCGUAGAUAUCAGGAGGAACACCUGUGGCGAAAGCGGCUCACUGGACCAUAACUGACGCUGAUGCACGAAAGCUAGGGGGAGCAAACAGG
rnacentral:rRNA from 1 species